AUAGAAACAAAAAUUCAGAACUUCUGUUAGAUGUUGUUUCAGUAAACCAUUGCUCAAGAACAAAGUCCUCAAAACUUAGUGUCUUAAAACAUCCAUGAUUUAUUAUUUCUCUCAGUUUUUUGAGUUGGCCAUGUGAGUGGUUCUUCUGGUCUAGCCUGAGGUCAUUCACGUAGUUGCAGUCAUCUGACAGCUCAGUUGGAACUGGAGGGUCCCAGUGGCCUCAUUCCCAUGUCUGGCAAUUGAUGGUGACUGCUGGUUAGAGUAUCUUGGUCUUCCUCUAUGUGGCUUCUUAUCCUUUAGUAGUCUUCACUAGGCUUUUUGCAUAGCUUGGUGGUCUCAGGUUUUCUCAGAGUAAAGUUCUCCCAUUUUGGCAGUUGGAACUUCCACAGCUAAUGAUCUGCUUGCUGCCUGUUCCUCCUGAAGGCUUCACUUCAUCUAGACAAGCCCUGGACACAUACAUAAAGUCCCCGUUUAGCCUUCCUGUCAAUGAGAGAGACUAAGCAUGAAAACAGUCCCACAUAAAACAAUAGAGGAAACAUCUCUGCUACAGAGAGAAAUUAUUCCAUUCCUCUUUCUUAAAUAGAAUGGAUGUCUGAAGACCUUCAACCCAUUAAAGAAAGGAUAAGAUUAAGAAACAAAACUGUCUCUAGAAGAAACAAAGACAUUUUGGAGAAAAAUUUAAGAAGGUAGUGUCUCCAAAGUACAAAAGCAGUGCUGUGAGAAAGAAACAAUUGGGGAUCAAAUUAGAACAUUUGUUAUACAUAUAGUCAUAUCCCAAAUUAAAAUUUCAAAUAAGAGUUUGAAUAUAAAG
rnacentral:lncRNA from 10 species